rnacentral:rRNA from 1 species
GACGAACCGAGCGAACGUUGUUCGGAAUCACUGGCUUAAAGGGCGCGUAGGCGGGUCGUCAAGUCCGGGGUGAAAUCCCACAGCUCAACUGUGGAACUGCCUCGGAUGCUGGGUGCCUCGAGGGUGGUAGGGGUAUGCGGAACUAUCGGUGGAGCGGUGAAAUGCGUUGAUAUCGAUAGGAACUCCGGUGGCGAAGGCGGCAUACUGGACCACAUCUGACGCUGAGGCGCGAAAGCCAGGGGGAGCGAACGGG